rnacentral:lncRNA from 1 species
UCACAGGUCAAUGGAACCUAUGAAAUCCAUCAUAAACAUUUUGACUUUUGGUUCUGAGCAACAACAACAACAACAACAACAAGAAAAGGCAAAUUCAUGAAAUCUGGACCAAAUACUAUAAUUUCUCUGUUCACUUUAGAACAUCAGAAGGAAGAUCCUCACAACCCAACCACCUAAUAUUUACAAGAAUUAACACUACUGUUCCUUCUCAAGAUCUUUACAGUUACCAUUGAUUGAUGGUGUUGACUCCUUGGGAGAUCCAUGCCUUAUUCCAACACAAAGGAGAGAGAUAGAGAGAAAGAGCUUGCCACAACAAUCAUUCACAUGCUGUGGUAAUACUUACUACUCGUAGCAGCAGGAACAAACAGGAGGGCAAUCAACAUGCGUUGACCUUCUUCCAGUCGAGCCAAGAAAGCCACGGUGUUGGACUCGGUCACCUUCGUGAUCCCUUAAGCCACUCGGGGCGAGGCGGACCGCCGCGUGAGCGACUGCGUCGUAGCUGAAGCGGGCGCGGCCGCCGGGGGCGAGGACGAAAGGAGGUGGAUCUCCGGGUAACGAAGCCUGCCGGAGUCACCAGGCAAUCUCAUGUAAGAAGCUGAGGGUGACUCGUCGAGCCAUGAAUUCCUCGAAGGAGCUUCCUCGCCAUGGGCGUAGUGCAGUAUGGCUCUGUACACGAAGGGAAUGAGGCCUUCCAUCGUGAGAGAAGAAGAAAGUACACUUUUGGUCGAACAGUAGGGGGGGGAGGGGAGGAUAAGAGCAAAGAAGCUUGUGCUUCUCCUGAAGAGAAACCAAAGUAGGAAGGGGUUGGCUUAAAUAGACAGAGGUAGAAAGAUUGUAUGAGAAAGCUGGCUGCAGCAAAUGGUCAGGAACGGCAACUUCUUCUCGAUGCAACACCAAUUUGGUCUUUUGGAGGAGCAUAAAGUCGAAGGAUUGGUCUUUGGUCCAUCCUGCGUAGUUGCUUCUGUGAACAUCUUGCCAAUUUUAUUGGAUAUACUUCCAGGGUUAGGUUGGAGUCCUCAUCCUCUUUCCAACAUAAUUAUCAUCAGAUAACCCCAAUAGAUGUGCAGUUUGCUAUGUUUUGGUGACAUGUUCCUUUCAGAUUGUGUUUAAGAUUUUG